AUUGAACGCUAGCGGGAUGCUUUACACAUGCAAGUCGAACGGAGUGGCGGACGGGUGAGUAAUAUAUCGGAACGUGCCCAGUAGCGGGGGAUAACUACUCGAAAGAGUGGCUAAUACCGCAUACUAUUGUAGCGGCCGUUAUCGGAGUAGAUAGUUGGUGAGGGAAAGGAUCACCAAGGCAACGAUCCGUCGUUGGUUUGAGAGGACGACCAGCCACAAUGGGACUGAGAAACGGCCCAGACUCAUACGGGAGGCAGUAGUGGGGAAUUUUGGACAAUGGGGGAAACCCUGAUCCAGCCAGCCCGCGGGUAUGAUGAAGGCCUUCGGGUUGUAAAGUACUUUUGGCAGAGAAGCGGUAUCUGCAGAAUAAGCACCGGCUAACUACGUGCCAGCCGCCGCGGUAAUUC
rnacentral:rRNA from 1 species